rnacentral:rRNA from 1 species
CUGGUUGAAACAUUUAAGGAUUCCUUUUCCCCCAGUGAGCUUUCUGCUAUCGUGGGUAUGGAUAGAUUUCAUUGGCAAUCUGUACCGGCUUCGGGCCACUCUGGAGGGAUUCUGAUCGGUUCUAAUAAGGACAUUUUUGACUUUGUUGCUUUUGAUCAUGGGUUUUAUUGGGCUAGUGUGGUUCUCUCGCACAGAUCUAUGAAUACCCUCUGUGAAUUUAUAGUUGUUUAUGGGCCCGCGGAUCACUCCUUUUCGCAUCUUUUCCUUGAUGAACUUUCGAUCAAGAUUGAGUCCUGUACUCUUCCGAUGGUUAUUGGGGGAGACUUUAAUCUUCUGCGAUGCCCUCUUGACAAGAAUAAUGAUAAUUUUUCCUGGUCUUUAGCCAAUGCUUUUAACGACUUUAUUAGUGCCAACGCUAUUCGGGAGCUUCCUCGGGGGGGAGCCCGCUUUACUUGGUCUAAUCAUCAGGUGAACCCUAUCAGAUCCGUGCUUGAUCGU